GCAUGUUCACAUGAUUAAAGGUAUUCCGGUAGACGAUGGGGAUGCGUUCCAUUAGAUAGUAGGCGGGGUAACGGCCCACCUAGUCUUCGAUGGAUAGGGGUUCUGAGAGGAAGGUCCCCCACAUUGGAACUGGGACACGGUCCAAACUCCUACGGGAGGCAGCAGUGAGGAAUAUUGGUCAAUGGGCGAGAGCCUGAACCAGCCAAGUAGCGUGAAGGAUGACUGCCCUAUGGGUUGUAAACUUCUUUUAUAAAGGAAUAAAGUCGGGUAUGCAUACCCGUUUGCAUGUACUUUAUGAAUAAGGAUCGGCUAACUCCGUGCCAGCAGCCGCGGUAAUACGGAGGAUCCGAGCGUUAUCCGGAUUUAUUGGGUUUAAAGGGAGCGUAGAUGGAUGUUUAAGUCAGUUGUGAAAGUUUGCGGCUCAACCGUAAAAUUGCAGUUGAUACUGGAUAUCUUGAGUGCAGUUGAGGCAGGCGGAAUUCGUGGUGUAGCGGUGAAAUGCUUAGAUACCACGAAGAACUCCGAUUGCGAAGGCAGCCUGCUAAGCUGCAACUGACAUUGAGGCUCGAAAGUGUGGGUAUCAAACAGGAUUAGAUACCCUGGUAGUCCACACGGUAAACGAUGAAUACUCGCUGUUUGCGAUAUACAGCAAGCGGCC
rnacentral:rRNA from 1 species